CGACAUGUCAACAGGGCGACCACGUCCAUU
rnacentral:sRNA from 1 species